UACGUAGGGUGCAAGCGUUGUCCGGAAUUAUUGGGCGUAAAGAGCUCGUAGGCGGUCUGUCGCGUCGGCUGUGAAAACUCGGGGCUCAACCCCGAGCCUGCAGUCGAUACGGGCAGACUAGAGUGCUGUAGGGGAGACUGGAAUUCCUGGUGUAGCGGUGAAAUGCGCAGAUAUCAGGAAGAACACCGGUGGCGAAGGCGGGUUCUCUGGGCAGUGAUCCUGACGCUGAGGAGCGAAAGUGUCGGGAGGGCGAACAGGAUUAGAAC
rnacentral:rRNA from 1 species